AGCCAGAGGUGGUCUAGUGGUUAGAGCAUCAAACUAGGGACCUGGGGGGCCAGGGCUCAAAUCCCCACUUGGCCA